rnacentral:rRNA from 1 species
GGUUAAGUUAAUAAGGGCGCACGGUGGAUGCCUUGGCACUAGGAGCCGAAGAAGGACGUGACAAACGACGAUAUGCCUUGGGUAGCUGUAAGUAAGCGAUGAUCCAGGGAUUUCCGAAUGGGGGAACCCAACAGGUGCUACCUGUUACCCAUAUCUGUUAAGGAUAUGAGGAGGAAGACGCAGUGAACUGAAACAUCUAAGUAGCUGCAGGAAGAGAAAGCAAAAGCGAUUGCCUUAGUAGCGGCGAGCGAAACGGCAGAAGGGCAAACCGAAGAGUUUACUCUUCGGGGUUGUAGGACUGCAAUGUGGACUCAAAGAUUAUAGAAGAAUGAUUUGGGAAGAUCAGCCAAAGAGAGUAAGAGCCUCGUAUUUAAAAUAGUCUUUGUACCUAGCAGUAUCCUGAGUACGGCGGGACACGAGAAAUCCCGUCGGAAUCUGGGAGGACCAUCUCCCAACCCUAAAUACUCCCUAGUGACCGAUAGUGAACCAGUACCGUGAGGGAAAGGUGAAAAGCACCCCGGGAGGGGAGUGAAAUAGAACCUGAAACCGUGUGCCUACAACAAGUUCGAGCCCGUUAAUGGGUGAGAGCGUGCCUUUUGUAGAAUGAACCGGCGAGUUACGAUAUGAUGCGAGGUUAAGUUGAAGAGACGGAGCCGUAGGGAAACCGAGUCUGAAUAGGGCGUAUUAGUAUCAUGUCGUAGACCCGAAACCAUGUGACCUACCCAUGAGCAGGUUGAAGGUGCGGUAAGACGCACUGGAGGACCGAACCAGGGCACGUUGAAAAGUGCUUGGAUGACUUGUGGGUAGCGGAGAAAUUCCAAACGAACUUGGAGAUAGCUGGUUCUCUCCGAAAUAGCUUUAGGGCUAGCGUCGACAUAAAGAUUCUUGGAGGUAGAGCACUGUUUGGGUGAGGGGUCCAUCCCGGAUUACCAAUCUCAGAUAAACUCCGAAUGCCAAAGAAUUAUGGUCGGCAGUCAGACUGCGAGUGCUAAGAUCCGUAGUCGAAAGGGAAACAGCCCAGACCACCAGCUAAGGUCCCAAAAUAAUUGUUAAGUGGAAAAGGAUGUGGGGUUGCACAGACAACUAGGAUGUUAGCUUAGAAGCAGCUAUUCAUUCAAAGAGUGCGUAAUAGCUCACUAGUCGAGUGACCCUGCGCCGAAAAUGUACCGGGGCUAAAACAAUUUACCGAAGCUGUGGAUACCUUUAUAGGUAUGGUAGGAGAGCGUUCUAUGUGUGGAGAAGGUGUACCGUGAGGAGCGCUGGAACGCAUAGAAGUGAGAAUGCCGGUAUGAGUAGCGAAAGACAGGUGAGAAUCCUGUCCACCGUAAGACUAAGGUUUCCAGGGGAAGGCUCGUCCGCCCUGGGUUAGUCGGGACCUAAGGAGAGACCGAAAGGUGUAUCCGAUGGACAACAGGUUGAUAUUCCUGUACUAGAGUAUGUAGUGAUGGAGGGACGCAGUAGGCUAACUAAAGCAGACGAAUGGAAGAGUCUGUCUAAGCAGUGAGGUGUGAUAUGAGUCAAAUGCUUAUAUCUGUAACAUUGAGCUGUGAUGGGGAGCGAAGUUUAGUAGCGAAGUUAGUGACGUCACACUGCCAAGAAAAGCUUCUAGCGUUUAAACAUACUCUACCCGUACCGCAAACCGACACAGGUAGUCGAGGCGAGUAGCCUCAGGUGAGCGAGAGAACUCUCGUUAAGGAACUCGGCAAAAUGACCCCGUAACUUCGGGAGAAGGGGUGCUGACAUAUGUCAGCCGCAGUGAAUAGGCCCAAGCAACUGUUUAUCAAAAACACAGCUCUCUGCUAAAUCGUAAGAUGAUGUAUAGGGGGUGACGCCUGCCCGGUGCUGGAAGGUUAAGAGGAGUGCUUAGGAGUAAUCCGAAGGUAUGAAUUGAAGCCCCAGUAAACGGCGGCCGUAACUAUAACGGUCCUAAGGUAGCGAAAUUCCUUGUCGGGUAAGUUCCGACCCGCACGAAAGGCGUAAUGAUUUGGGCACUGUCUCAACGAGAGACUCGGUGAAAUUUUAGUACCUGUGAAGAUGCAGGUUACCCGCGACAGGACGGAAAGACCCCAUGGAGCUUUACUGCAGUUUGAUAUUGAGUGUCUGUACCACAUGUACAGGAUAGGUAGGAGUCUAAGAGAUCGGGACGCCAGUUUCGAAGGAGACGUUGUUGGGAUACUACCCUUGUGUUAUGGCCACUCUAACCCGGAUAGGU